AUUAUACAAAGAUUUAUCAUGGGUAUAUAACACAAACAAAACUUUCUUGUAUAUUCUAUCUUAGUUAGAAUUCGUUAGGUUAUAUUCUAUCAAGAUAUUGUUAGUAUACAUGUAGCUUUAUUACAACUUAUAGCCACGACUCUAUGAUUUGAUUUUUCUUGUUUAUGUUUCAUAACUUGUUCUGCUUUUUACCUUAUGUUACGCCUUCGGAAGAAUAAACUUUCCACCCUCUCUACAUUGUUUUGCACAACAUAGGAUACAUAUUAUAACCAAAUCACGAAAAAUAUGAAAAUUUCCAUAUUUCAGUUAAUAUAUUUCCUAAAUCUAUACAAAAUCAAGACAAAAUCAACCCUAAAUCUCGCACAAUAUCUUCUCGUCCACGUAAAAAAUCAUCAAAACUGCUUUUUCCUUCACUCGAACCCGAGUUAUACAAGAGAAAACUUCACACACAAACAACUAGACCACACAUGAUUCACGCUACUUUGAUAUGCAUACUAGAUUAUAUACUAUCAAGUAUAAUAAAAAUCUUUAAACUAAUCAUUGAUUAAUCGACGAUUAAUUUCUGAGUUAUUGUAUAUAUUGAAUUUUCAUAUAACAGGGUCAAAAGUGCACAUUUGGAAGUUUAAGACGAAAUCAUAAGGAUAUUUCUGUAAAUUUGGAAGAUUGGGGCAAAUAUUAAAAUAAUAGAAAAUUCAGGGACCAAUGUUGAGUAAUGAAAAUACUGGCUGGUCUAGAUUACGCAAUUGAAAGUUCUGGAAUUAAUUCGAGGAGCAAUAUGUACAAACAUAAAGUUAUGGGACAAAUCUGUGAUUAGUCAACAAAUUUGAGGACCUAUCUUGCAAAAUUACACAAACUGGCCAUUGUUGCUCUUCGACAAGCUUUCCUUCGAUCUGCGACGGUAAAGGCUGAUUCCGACGUAACAGAGACAGUGGAGUGAAGUAGAGAGCAUGGCGAGAUUGAAGCCUUUGGAAAUGAAACGGAGGAGUGACAUCGCGAGUUGACGCCGUGGAGGAAGCUUGGUCGCAGCGAUUGGAACAGAGCAUGACCACGAAGUCGACAUAGAGCAGAGCACGGUGGUGAGGAGCUAAAGAAAACGAUUAGAGGUCGGGAUGAGCCAUACCUCUUUCCUGGAUUUCAUUUUUUUUCCUUCCGUUUUUGCUCUCUUUUUUCAAAACAAAUCAAUUACAAAAUAUUAAUAUUAAUUAGGUUUAUUGAAGGGUAUAAUGGUAUUAAAGGAAAUAUGAAUCCUAUUAAUAACCUAAAUAAUCUUCUACAAGUUUUAUUGGAACAAAUCUAAGUUGAGAGUGUUUUUUUUCUUCUUUUUUUUCCAAUUUUCCCUUAUAUUUAUUAGCUAUGUUGUUUUUCUUUCACAACAUAGCCAUGAUUAUAUUUACUAGCUAUGUAAGUAAUAUACUUAAACAUUUUAUAAGAUCGUUAGUUUUGCAAAACUGAUGAAGUGGGUGCCAAUACCCGACGUCUUUUUGGGCGAAAAAAUAGUGUAAGUGGAAGCGAAAUGAUACCCGACGUCUUAACAUCUAUCUAUAACAAUAAACUUGACUUGCUUCUCUCCUCCUGCGUCCACAUCAUCAAGAAAGGAGGGGACAAAUCAUGCCACGUGUCUUUGAUUUUUUAACUAUCUCAAAAUGCUUUCUCGAUGAAGAUUGUUUACCUGAUUUAUGCAAUGGGCUUUUAUACUCUCUAAAGUUGGCCCAUAAGUUAUUAGGGUACCUUUCUUGUCGAUGAUAGAAUAGCAGAAAAAAACCACCUGACCCUUCAGAUGACACAGCCUCCGGAUCAUGCUUGCGUAACGGCUAUAGUUAUCAUUUAUCUGCUACAUUAAUCCAACCAUUUACCUCUUUUGCACCACUCAUCCCUCUCUCUCUCUCUUCUUCCUUCGCUUAUUAACUUCAUCAACUUCUGCCGAUUUCAUAUCCGAUGGAAUCGACGGUAGAAGUCUUGGCUGCUCCGGAUCGGUUAUCAAGACGGUGGUCUCGGAGAGAAAUAGGAAGCUUGUGAACAUACUUAUGGGGUUCAUGCCGUGUACUUAGACGGCGCUUGGUAACGUGUUUUUGAUUUUGGUUUAUGGGUUUCUCAUGUUCACGGCGGUAACAUAUCUAUCUGCCGGAAGUGAGCUUCUUCUCGAGAUUGGCCCUUGAAUCGUCGGUGGUUUGUUUCUUCCCAUGGUCGGAGUACUCCCUGAUGCUAUGCUUAUUAUGGAUAGGUGAAAGUCUCUGUGGGAAUGGGUUUGCUCGCUGGCUCUACCGUUACGCUUCUUUCUAUUAUCUGGAGAACUUGCAAAGUUGUUGGCAAGUGUAACAUUCGUGAUACUAUUGCUGUAAACAACCAAGACACUAGAACCUUCCAUCUUAAAGAUUCUGGUGUUAGUGUUGAUGUUUGGACCAUGUGCUUAUUCAUCGUAGUUUUCCCUCUCACUUCAUCUACAUUUCUAAUCUGACAUAACAAGAAAGAGAAUGCAGUGGUUGAGUUUGUGUGGGUGGUGAGCGCGAAAGAAAAAUUUGUAGCAGAAACGUUGAAACAUCUGACCAUGGAGAUCAUUGGUGCUAGGAGGAAGAAACUUUAUGAAGCAACAGUGUGGGUUAAGCCAAGGAUGAACUUCAAGGAGUUAUGCCGGUGAUAAUGCCCCUGCCAUUACUCCCUCCUAACUUGGCUGCACAUAAGAUGAUCAUAAAUCUUGGAGGGAAGUUCCACGAGAUGAUUCAGUACAAUCCUUUUCUGAUCAUGCUGUCAAGAGCAUCCAACACAGAUUUAACUCAUUGUUACUUUCGUCAAGUUCCCCUUAUGCCGUUGUCUCUGGCUCUGAUGUGCUGUGUGCUUUGGUGUUGUACGGGAGUGGUGCUUUGAGAUUAAACCUAAACAACUCCACUUCUCAUGUUGUUGGUGGUGUGCAGGUCAAUAAAAAGUGUUCCAAAUGUAGGUGGCUUCUCUCCCACCAACACACUUCCACCAAAAAGUGAGAAUGCACCUAAGAAAGUACAAAUAGUUUAAUUCCAGGCAGAUGCGUUACUAGAUCACAAUUUUUGCUUCGUAAAUAAUGCUUUAUCAACCCUUUUUAAAUUAAUAAUUUCUCAUCAUGUCCUUUGUGUUUAGUCUUUCAAUGUAAGCACAUUUGGUAUUCAUAAUUUUACCGGGUCACAAUUGUUAAGAAACUUUCA